AAGCUUAUCUGGCGCUUAAUUCAGAGUGAUCAAUAAAACUCUGAUACAAGGUGGAGUCUCAGCAUCGCGCUCUGCUGUGUUGAUGCUUGCCACGGACUCUAAUCGGGUUUGCAUUGGUGUGUAUUUUAAGCGGUGAGAUUUUCCAAGUAUCCCUUU
rnacentral:snRNA from 9 species